rnacentral:rRNA from 1 species
AUUAAACGCUGGCGGCAUGCCUUACACAUGCAAGUCGAACGGUAGCGCGGGGCAACCUGGCGACGAGUGGCGAACGGGUGAGUAAAGCAUCGGAACGUGCCCUGGAAUGGGGGAUAACGUAGCGAAAGUUACGCUAAUACCGCAUAUUCUGUGAGCAGGAAAGCAGGGGAUCGCAAGACCUUGCGUUCUGGGAGCGGCCGAUGUCGGAUUAGCUAGUUGGUGGGGUAAAAGCCUACCAAGGCGACGAUCCGUAGCGGGUCUGAGAGGAUGAUCCGCCACACUGGGACUGAGACACGGCCCAGACUCCUACGGGAGGCAGCAGUGGGGAAUUUUGGACAAUUGGCGGAAGCCUGAUCCAGCCAUGCCGCGUGAGUGAAGAAGGCCU